UUCUCCCGACCCAUAACCGAACCACCGUGCUUCGGUUUUUUAUUGAUAUGCAUAGCUAUGAUCAUUGCAAGAUCCUCCUCCUCUUCCAUAUCAAAUUCUUCUUCGGAAGAAUUAUACGACGAACUCAUCUACAAUGUUCAAUACUAUACUGUAAAAACUACCAUUCAAAACAUGCACCAAAUUCAUAAGUUUGGAGCAAUACAUACCUUGUAGGCGUUUU
rnacentral:lncRNA from 1 species